rnacentral:rRNA from 1 species
UGGGGAAUAUUGCACAAUGGAGGGAACUCUGAUGCAGCGACGCCGCGUGAACGAAGAAGGCCUUCGAGUCGUAAAGUUCUUUUAUAUGGGAAGAUAAUGACGGUACCAUAAGAAAAAGCCCCGGCUAACUACGUGCCAGCAGCCGCGGUAAUACGUAGGGGGCUAGCGUUGUCCGGAAUCACUGGGCGUAAAGGGUGCGCAGGCGGCUUUACAAGUUGGAUGUGAAAUAUUGUGGCUCAACCACAAACGUGCAUCCAAAACUGCAAAGCUUGAGUUAAGGAGAGGUAAGUGGAAUUCCUGGUGUAGCGGUGGAAUGCGUAGAUAUCAGGAGGAAUACCGGUGGCGAAGGCGACUUACUGGACUUAAACUGACGCUCAGGCACGAAAGCGUGGGGAGCAAACAGG